GUGCUUACUUUGGCAGCACAUAUACUAAAAUUAGAAUGAUACAGAGAAUAUCAGCAUGGCCCCUGUGGAGGAUGACACUCAAAUUCAUAAAGCAGUUUGCAUUUUU